UGAGGAAUAUUGGUCAAUGGGCGGGAGCCUGAACCAGCCAAGCCGCGUGAGGGAAGAAGGCCCUAUGGGUCGUAAACCUCUUUUGUCAGGGAACAAAAGCGAGUAUGUAUACUAGUCUGAGUGUACCUGAAGAAAAAGGCAUCGGCUAACUCCGUGCCAGCAGCCGCGGUAAUACGGAGGGAUGCGAGCGUUAUCCGGAUUUAUUGGGUUUAAAGGGUGCGUAGGCGGCGAUGCAAGUCAGCGGUAAAAGCCCGGGGCUCAACCCCGGCGAGCCGUUGAAACUGCAGUGCUAGAGAAGGCGAGAGGUACGCGGAAUGCGCAGUGUAGCGGUGAAAUGCUUAGAUAUUGCGCAGAACUCCGAUUGCGAAGGCAGCGUACUGGCGCCUGACUGACGCUGAGGCACGAAAGCGUGGGGGAUCGAACAGGAUUAGAUACC
rnacentral:rRNA from 1 species